UACGGGGGGGGCAAGCGUUGUUCGGAAUUACUGGGCGUAAAGGGUUAGUAGGUGGCCAACUAAGUCAGACGUGAAAUCCCUCAGCUUAACUGGGGAACUGCGUCUGAUACUGGUUGGCUUGAGUGCAGGAGAGGAACGCGGAAUUCCAGGUGUAGCGGUGAAAUGCGUAGAUAUCUGGAGGAACACCGGUGGCGAAGGCGGCGUUCUGGACUGCAACUGACACUGAGGAACGAAAGCCAGGGGAGCAAACGGG
rnacentral:rRNA from 1 species